rnacentral:tRNA from 2 species
GCCCGGGUGGCGAAAUGGUAGACGCAGGGGACUUAAAAUCCCUUGGUAGCAAUACCGUGUGGGUUCGAGUCCCACCCCGGGCACCC